rnacentral:lncRNA from 10 species
AGCCAAUUGGGGGAAGGGGGUCAGCCUAGACAUCUUGGUAAGAUCCAACACCGGUAUUAUAUAUGUAAGGGAGCUGGGCGCAGUGGCUCACGCCUGGAAUCCCAGCACUUCAGGAGGCCAAGGUGGAAGGAUUGCUUGAGCUCAGUUCAAGACCAGCCCGGGCAACAUAGCAAGACCUCAUCUCUACUAAAAAUAAAAUUUUAAAAUUAGCCAAAUGCAGUGGUGCACACCUAUAGUCCCAGCUACUCAGGAGGCUGAGGUGGGAUGAUUGCUUGAGCCCAGCCAUUCGAGGCUGCAGUGAGCUGUGAUCGCAUCACUGUACUCCAGCCUGGAGAACAAAGCAAGACCUGGUCUCAAAAGAAAAAAGAAAAAUAAAAUA